GAUUCUGGCUCAGAACGAACGCUGGCGGCGCGUCUUAAGCAUGCAAGUCGAACGGCAAGAGGUAGCAAUACCUCCUAGAGUGGCGGACUGGUGAGUAACACGUGGGUGACAUACCCUUCAGAUGGGGAUAGCUAUUAGAAAUAGUAGAUAAUACCGAAUACGAGCACAGGGGUUAGAGAUCUGUGAGGAAAGGAGCUAAGGCUCCGCUGAAGGAAUGGCCUGCGGCCCAUUAGCUAGUUGGUGAGGUAAGAGCCCACCAAGGCGAUGAUGGGUAUCCGGCCUUAGAGGGUGAACGGACACAUUGGGACUGAGAUACGGCCCAGACUCCUACGGGAGGCAGCAGCUAAGAAUAUUCCGCAAUGGACGAAAGUCUGACGGAGCGACGCCGCCGUGGAUGAAGAAGGCCGGAAGGUUGUAAAAUCCUUUUGAAACUGAAGAAUAAGCGUUGUAGGGAAUGACAGCGUGGUGACAGUAGGUUUUGAAUAAGCAACGGCUAAUUACGUGCCAGCCGCCGC
rnacentral:rRNA from 1 species